GGGCUCUUGGACAGGGGUAGCGCGCACGCUUUGCAUGCGUGAGGUCGUGGGUUCGAAUCCCACAGUGCCCG
rnacentral:tRNA from 1 species